AUCAGGAACCAUGGCUCACUGGAGCACCAUCUUUGGAGUCUAGCUAACACAGCAUCUUGGAUGCACUCCUAAGAGAAGACUACCUGAAAGGCGUGUACACUGGUCUAGCAGUUGAGAUCAGCUAGUGUUCCAUCUAUCUUCUGUCAUGUAUCUCUUCUAAGAUGUCUUGAUCGACUGACCCCAAAGCCAGAGGGUACCAGGUCAAAAAGCAAGAAAACAAACAAUACUGACAUUAGAGAGAAGCAAAGUUUCUAUAGAAAACCUAUUACACUGUGGUAUAAAUCAAGAUGAACCUGCAGACAUCUAUUUUAGUUUGGAAGUCUGGAAAAGUUCAAGAUUGGCCAUCUGCAGCUGGUGAGAGCCUCAGGCUGCUUCCCCUCAUGGUGGAAGGUGAAGGGGAGCUGGUGUGUGCAGAGAUUACAUGCAAAGGUGCUGCUGGUUACUCUUGGUUCAUCUAGCAAUAGAUGAUCUGAAUGUUAGAGUUCGCCAAAUAUUGUUCCUGGGCAGUCUUUGCUCUACCAAAUCAACUUUCUCCAUGGAAAUCUAAGAAUUUCCUCUCUUACUGAGACAACCUGUCUUCAGCUCAAAGCAUCUAUUCUUGCCUGAGUCUAUCUCCAUUGAUUGCCUAUAGCAAUGUCAGGCUGGCUGCUGUUUUAAAUUGAGCAUUUCAUGUAUAAAGCAUACCAGCUGAGGAGGCAUGUUUGCUAAAGUAGAAGUCACAGGUUCAGGGGUGACAUAUUGUACAAGUGGUCAUAAGCCUUGGAAGGGGAGCUAGAAGUCACCCCACAUUCUCCGCCAUGGCCAGCUCUACAUUCUAAGAGAAAAAUGAAUUAAUAGGAUUUUUCAUGUGGCUGAAGAAGACAGAGACUGCAAACCAGGUGGUGACAAUUGCCCUGGCAACACCACAUUUGUAUUUAUUCACUUACUAAAUUUUCCACCAGAUAUUUUUCAAUGUAGCUCAUUAAAAACAUUUCUGUUUUCCUUUCUC
ensembl:lncRNA LINC02465 long intergenic non-protein coding RNA 2465